rnacentral:snRNA from 1 species
ACAAGCACCUGCCAAGCAAGCAUGAGGUCGUGAGUCUGAUCCCAGUACAAAAAAAUAAAAUAAAAAUUAAAAAAAAUAGUUUUGCAAUUUCCCCAAAUGUGGGAAACUUGCCUGUAUAAUUUGUGGUAGUGGGGGACUGCAUUUGUCUUUUCCCCUG